GGCCGGUUGGUGUAGUUGGUUUAUCACGUAUCGUUAACACCGAUAAGGUCGCCGGAUCGAGCCCGGCACUGGUCA